AUUGAACGCUGGCGGCAUGCCUUACACAUGCAAGUCGAACGGCAGCACGGGAGCAAUCCUGGUGGCGAGUGGCGAACGGGUGAGUAAAGUAUCGGAACGUGCCCAGUCGUGGGGGAUAACGUAGCGAAAGGUACGCUAAUACCGCAUACGAUCUAUGGAUGAAAGCGGGGGAUCGCAAGACCUCGCGCGAUUGGAGCGGCGGAUAUCAGAUUAGGUAGUUGGUGGGGUAAAGGCUAACCAAGCCGACGAUCUGUAGCUGGUCUGAGAGGACAACCAGCCACACUGGGACUGAGACACGGCCCAGACUCCUACGGGAGGCAGCAGUGGGGAAUUUUGGACAAUGGGCGAAAGCCUGAUCCAGCCAUGCCGCGUGCAGGAGGAAGGCCUUCGGGUUGUAAACUGCUUUUGUACGGAACGAAAAGGUUUGGCCUAAUAAGCUGAGCUCAUGACGGUACCGUAAGAAUAAGCACCGGCUAACUACGUGCCAGCCGCCGCGGUAA
rnacentral:rRNA from 1 species